rnacentral:misc_RNA from 1 species
UAUAGUAGCCUAAAUGCCAUAGGUCGAACAGAUCUAAUCAUGAUAUUAGCCCACUAUGCUAUCCCUCAGUUCUAAUUCCUAAUAUUGGGAAGGAGCCUACCUAGCAGACCAAGCAAAAACAAAAAAGCACCGAGGCCAUGGCAACCAAGAAUUGUAGAGGACAUUGCUCUAACCAUUUCACUCUUAUCUACGCUUUGAGGAACCGAGAACUAUUAGAGCGGCACUGUGGACAUCCUUGAGAUAAUCAUCCUCCACAAUAAAACCAUCAUUAAAACAAUAACAGAUCCAACAUGUCACAAAUAUACUCUCUUUCAGAAACUCAACUUGCAUAACUAAAAAAUCAUACAAAACUAUAGACAAAACCCAACCAGAUGAUAA